rnacentral:rRNA from 1 species
UCCGUAGGGUGCGAGCGUUGUCCGGAAUUAUUGGGCGUAAAGGGCUCGUAGGCGGUUUGUCGCGUCGGGAGUGAAAACCUUGGGCUUAACUCAGGGCUUGCUUUUGAUACGGGCAGACUAGAGGUAUGCAGGGGAGAACGGAAUUCCUGGUGUAGCGGUGAAAUGCGCAGAUAUCAGGAGGAACACCGGUGGCGAAGGCGGUUCUCUGGGCAUGAUCUGACGCUGAGGAGCGAAAGUGUGGGGAGCGAACAGG